CCAGGUCAACCCUGCUUUAUCAAAAGCAGUGUGAAGUUGCGUACCCGUGCCGCAAGACACCGGGUCCUGCCUGGAUAGGUUCUGACCUAGCCUUGUAGAUCAUGACAGUGUGAAAGGUGCUCAAUGGGCUAGGAUGCAAGAUGGUGAUCAAAGUGAGAGUUCUUGCAGCUCCAUAUGCUGAAAAAAGCUAAAUUCAGGGUCUUUGAUAUGGAUUCUCCAGUGAUCAAGUACGGGUCAACAAAGCUGUGCUUUGGUAUCCAUGGAGAUCCUUGCAGAGAAGGAGCAGAUUGUUCCAAAAGUGGAGGUUGUGCAGAAGAAAAAAACUAAGUAGUGGGAUUGGACACAGGGAUACUGGUGAGAGAAGUGUGCAGAGUUCCUGCUCCACCCAUUGGAGAAAGCAGAGAGCAACUUUGACCUCAAGGGUCUUGAUAUGGAUUCUCCAGUGAUCAAGUACGGGUCAACAAAGCUGUGUUUUAAUACCCAUGGAGAUCCUCCAGAGAAGGACCAGAUUGUUCCAAAAGAAGUAGAGGUUGCUCAGAGGUUUCCAGGAUGAUUGGUUCAGGGGAAUAAAACAAAUACAGUGCAUAAAAUAAAAAC